GAAGACGUGGCAGGGCCGUUAGUCACGUCAACAAAAACUUGACGCCAUCCAUUUUUAAGAACUAAAGAUACAUAUUUCAAUAGUAAGAGGAUGAAAUGUCGUCAAUGUUCUGAGGAGGGACUAAAACCAAAAAUAACUGAUACUUUAGAGACUAAAAGCAUAUUUAACCCAUUUUUUUAUUUUUUUUAUUUUUUUAUUUUAUUUAUUUAUUUUUUCCUUUCUUUUCGGUUUUUAGUUUGCUCGUUUUAUACUUUGGUCUUCAGUUUUUCUUAUUCCCAAUUGUAUUGAUGAACCGAGUAAAGGAAUUAGUC
rnacentral:lncRNA from 1 species